GAUGAAGAACGUAGCGAAAUGCGAUAAGUAAUGUGAAUUGCAGAAUUCCGUGAAUCAUCGAAUCUUUGAACGCACAUUGCGCCCCCUGGUAUUCCGGGGGGCAUGCCUGUCCGAGCGUCAUUGCAACCCUCAAGCGCGGCUUGUGUGUUGGGCUUCGUCCCCCCGUGGACGUGCCCGAAAGGCAGUGGCGGCGUCCCGAAUGGUGCCCGAGCGUAUGGGAACUCUCUUCCGCUCGAACCGGCCCAUUCGGCGCUGGUCGAAACCCAAUUUUUUUUUACCGGUUGACCUCGGAUCAGGUAGGGAUACCCGCUGAACUUAAGCAUAUCAAUAAGCGGAGGA
rnacentral:misc_RNA from 1 species